rfam:Nautilia profundicola AmH, complete genome.
UCCUCAGCCCUGUGCAAGGGUGGUAAGAGGCAACGCUUCAGGCCCGGAAGGGAGCAGAGCACCUCUUAUCAUCCUGUGCCGCAGGUGUCUGGGGACCU